AGGUGAACCUGCGGAAGGAUCAUUACCGAGUACGGGUCCCUAUCCCCUUCCCGGGGGGUGGGGGCCCAGACCUCCCACCCUUGUCGAUUGUACCGUGUUGCUUCGGCGGGCCCGCCAUGGUUGGCCGCCGGGGGGUUCGCGAAUGCCGCCCCCGGGCCUGUGCCCGCCGGAGACUCCCUCGAAACGCUACUGUGGUCAGGAAUGCUGUCUGAGUCUUGAGAAAUUGAUCAAAAAACUUUCAACAAUGGAUCUCUUGGUUCCGGCAUCGAUGAAGAACGCAGCGAAAUGCGAUAAGUAAUGCGAAUUGCAGAAUUCCGUGAGUCAUCGAAUCUUUGAACGCACAUUGCGCCCCCCGGCUUCCCGGGGGGCAUGCCUGUCCGAGCGUCAUUGCCAUCCCCUCAAGCUCUGCUUGGCUUGUUGGGCCAGCGUCCGCCUGCGGCUCCUGUCGCGGGGGGACGGGCCCGAAAGGCAGUGGCGGCUCCUGGAGACUUGGUCCUUUGGGCGGUGAUGCAUGGGUCUCUUCAUCCACCGCCCCGUUGGCCACGCCCCGGGAGUCUGUCGAACGAUUGGUCUUCCCCCUUUAGGUUGACCUCGGAUCAGGUAGGGAUACCCGCUGAACUUAAGCAUAUCAAUAAGCGGAGGAAAAGAAACCAACCGGGAUUGCCUCAGUAACGGCGAGUGAAGCGGCAAGAGCUCAAAUUUGAAAUCUGGCCCCUUCCCCGGGGUCCGAGUUGUAAUUUGGAGAGGAUGCUUCGGGUCCGGUCCCGGUCCAAGUGCCCUGGGAUGGGCUGUCGGAGAGGGUGAGAAUCCCGUCUGCGACCGGUGGCUGGGCCUGGGUGAAGCUCCCUCGACGAGUCGAGUUGUUUGGGAAUGCAGCUCUAAAUGGGUGGUAAAUUUCAUCUAAAGCUAAAUAUGGGCCGGAGACCGAUAGCGCACAAGUAGAGUGAUCGAAAGAUGAAAAGCACUUUGGAAAGAGAGUCAAACAGCACGUGAAAUUGUUGAAAGGGAAGCGCUUGCGAUCAGACUCGCCCGGGGAGGUUCAACCGUGCACUUGUGCCGGUGCAUUCCUGCCCGGGCGGGCCAGCGUCGGUUUGGACGGCCCGUCAAAGGCCCCCGGAAGGUAGCGCCCCGCAUGGGGCGUCUUAUAGCCGGGGGUGUCAUGCGGCCUGUCUGGACCGAGGAACGCGCCUUCGGGCUCGGACGCUGGCGUAAUGGUCGUAAGCGGCCCGUCUUGAAACACGGACCAAGGAGUCUAACAUCCACGCGAGUGUUCGGGUGUUCAAAACCCGUCCGCGCAGUGAAAGCGAACGGAGGUGGGAACCCUCUCCCCGGGGGGUGCACCAUCGACCGAUCCUGAUGUCUUCGGAUGGAUUUGAGUAGGAGCGUGGCUGUUGGGACCCGAAAGAUGGUGAACUAUGCCUGAAUAGGGUGAAGCCAGAGGAAACUCUGGUGGAGGCUCGCAGCGGUUCUGACGUGCAAAUCGAUCGUCAAAUUUGGGUAUAGGGGCGAAAGACUAAUCGAACCAUCUGGUAGCUGGUUCCUGCCGAAGUUUCCCUCAGGAUAGCAGUAACGAGAUCAGUUU
rnacentral:rRNA from 1 species